rnacentral:rRNA from 1 species
UACGUAGGGGGCGAGCGUUGUCCGGAUUUACUGGGCGUAAAGAGCGCGCAGGCGGCUGGUCAAGUCCGAUGUGAAAGCUCCCGGCUUAACUGGGAAAUUGCAUCGGAAACUGAUCGGCUGGAAGGUGGGAGAGGGUAGCGGAAUUCCCGGUGUAGUGGUGAAAUGCGUAGAGAUCGGGAGGAACACCGGUGGCGAAGGCGGGACUCUGGGCCUACCCUGACGCUGAGGCGCGAAGGCGUGGGGAGCAAACGGG